rnacentral:lncRNA from 1 species
AGAAACGCAUGAGGGGUUCAAACCUCCCCACCUCAUUCUGCACUCUCAAGCUCAAUACACCAGAGAGGGAAGGUUUCUCUCUCGCAGAGCUCAGGGUUACGCCACCGAGCCACCACUUCUUCGAAUCAAGCCACCGCGGCGGCCCUCCGACAGCAGACGUCACCGGAAUCACGGCCGGCCACGACACCUUCUCCCCUUCUCCCUCUCUCUCGCACUAGCCUAGGGUUGGGGCCUUUCCACCCUUGAACACCGCUUGCCACCGCUUCUCUGCCACCGCCUUCAUCGCAAGCGCCAGCCAGACCGCACACUCCCAUGACUGUCGCGACAAUGCCCCGUCUCCUCCAUCACCGCGUCACCGUGCUCCACUUCCACAGCCUAGGCCGCAGGAACUCAGCACCGUCGUGCCAUCAACAACGACAAUGUCUCGCUUCUUCACCUCCGUCACCUUCGUCCGAACUCCAUGCUUCGCCAGUCUCCGAUCUAAUUUUGCUUCAUUGUGGUAUGACAGAAAAGGGGCAGAGAAAGGGGAAGAAGAGAAAAGAACAGCCUCUGCUUGCUCUAAACGCACUUGCAUAAUAAUCCAACUCGUGCUAGGGGUCGCCGCGACUUUCGAAAGAGCAGAAAGGUGAGUUGGGGAACUGGUUUACGAAUGAAAUUUGAUAAAGAUAUCCUCCCUUGUAUUAUUCUAAGACUCAAGAAAUUGAAACAAGCACCAAGGUAUUGAAUCUGGUUUUUGUUGUUGGUUUCCUUUGACGCGAACGAAAGGUGAAUAGAACAUAAGUACUGUUGGAUUCAUUAUGUAGUGUACUGUGUGAGUUUCUGUUUAACAGGGUGUGAGUUUCUGUUUAACAGGGUGUGAGUUUUUCUGAUGGCGUUAUGUGUGUUGGCUUUGUGGAAAAGGAGAGAGCGCCAAAAUUGUUUCAAUGUGUUCAAUGUGCGCUUUGUAUGGUGCGUGUUAAGGAUGCGAUGGAGAGGUUUGGAUAUGGUGAUGGCACCUUAACAACAGGUUGGACUAGAUUCAUCUUCCUUGUUGAUGAGAAAAAAAAUCAAAGUUUGGGGUGCAGAUUCUAUAAAAGUAACCCUGAUUUAAGAAAAUGAAAGAGGAAGCAAUGCUUCACUCUCUGGAUAGGACCUCUCAUGGUGUUUCGGGGACGUUGAGAGCUUUGGAAGAUCACAACUCACGCUGCUCAGUGGCUUCUAAGAGGGGGAAGAGAAUAAAUUUCCAUGAAACCUUGUUAUGCAAGGUGUGCUCAUGGAAAGGGGAUGGAGAUGCAGCGAAAAAAACAAUCAUAGUGUUUCGGUAGGAAUUUAUUGGGACCGAAAGCACUAACCUCAGUGGCGCGAUUCUGCCUCCUUCUGAUGCGAAAUCUCCAAUUGCCUUCGCCGUCCGUUCUUCUGACCGUCCGUCACGCUCUGAUCUUUGCCCAGGAGGGGGGUGGUACCUGUAAAGGCACUCCGAUGAUCAAGUUAGAUGUCAGUAUAGGAAGGACCUCUGUCCUCAGCAAGUGGAUGCCUAGAACGGAGAGAGGGUGGAACUCAAUCAAGUAUGAGAGUAUCAGUGUAGGUUGAAUUGUGCGUAGAGUAAGCUAAAUUGUGCGUACCUUGUUUGGAGGCUUUUGUUCUUUAUUUAUAGGCUUUGGAUCAAUAUAACAAAAUAAAAUAUAAACAGAAUGAAAUAUAAACAAACUUACCUGAAAUAUCUCUGUUGAGAUAUUAUUUGAUACGAGAUAUAUAUGAUGAUACUGUUCCGUUAUUCGUGUUUGUUGAGCCCAAUAAGGCUGGAUAAUUCGGCCCAUUUACCUGGUAGGCUUGACCGUUCGGUGUAACCGGUCGUCCGGGAUAUACUAUCGUACAUCAUCCCCCCAAGUCCAAAGGAAGGACGAGGCUUUAGCCUGAUGUGACUGCAGGACUUUGAUGAGUGUUGGGAAGGAUAGUGGCCGAUUGGUGUGGGAUAANUGAGUNGUCCGUAUUGUUGACCGUUCGUACUGAUUAGUGCCCUAGUGGUAGGCAAACAGACAUGUGUAGUUUUGCCAGUGUAAAUUAAACGACGCAAUCAUAUCGUCGUUUAACUUUUAAACACAUAAAUGGAUUUUCCCGCGUUACGGUAGUGGCAGAGUCGCCAAAUUAGAACGUUAGAUCUCAGGCAUCCAACGGUGUAGGUAAUGCGACAUUUUCGUAACCUCCACGCUUUUGAAAAGUAUAAUGAUUUGGAAAUGAACCGUCAUUUCAUCGUUGUUUCCUGCGUUUGCCCUCAGAAGCUCUUGCUUUGCCCAAGUAUUCUGCACUUGCUUCGACCUCCAUUUCCAGGUAACAAUGGCUUCUUCCCCUCCUGCCCUUACUUUGUCUGAUAGUGAAAAUAGGAAUCGUAAUGUUCCGUCGUCAUCUAGCCGUAGAGUCGUAGGGUCUGUAGAGUCGUUAUUGAGUGGUGACAAGGUUUUUGUUAAUGGCGGGGUCGAGGUAGAAAAUUCCGGGCAAGAAUGUGCUUCUUGUUCCUUAGAUUAUUCGUGGGCAUCGCGGGAAGUAGGUGAGCAAUACACUAUUUUUAUUAGUAGAGAUAUACUAUCAGGAUGGGUAGAAGAUAACUGCAUCCUUCGAACCCUAGGCUAUAAGGCCGCCGUGAACUUAGUGGCUUGCAAGAAGGGAGAAAGAGUGUUUCACGGGGAAGAGGUCGCCGAAGAGGGUUGUUUUUACAUGUAUCUGUGUUUAUUUUACCAUAUGUACGUUCGUCUUCCUUUUACUCGGUUCCAAAUGGAUGUCCUCCGAUACCUAAACGUAGCUCCUUCCCAAUUACAUCCGAACAGCUGGGCGUACAUCCAAGCGUUCGGUGUAUUGUGUCAAGCCCUAGAUAUUAACCCAACGGCCAAAAUAUUCUUGUAUUUUUUCAAGAGCCGGCCGAACGCCAAAAAGGGGUGGGUUUCCCUUAGUUCCUAGGCAAAGGAUGCCAUAUUUCACUUGUUUGCUGAGUCGUUUCAAGACUUCAAAAACCACUUUUUCAAGGUGUCAGUUAAAUCGAGGGGUAAGCCAUUUUUUCUAAACGAUGAUGGUAGUUCCAAGUUCCCCUUAUUUUGGACUAGAAAUCCUCGAACUUUGACCUCUUGGCCUAAAGAGGAUAUGACUGACGUCGAAAAGAGGGACCUGGAUAUUUUGAUUAAACUAUCCCGUCCGUUUUCUUCGAGGAAGAUGGUGAAUUGUCUGAAGUUCAACGACCUUAAGUCGAAGGUUUCUGGUAGGUGUUUGUUGCUGAUUAUUGUUCCCGGUGAGGUUGAAUAUCCUUACUGAUUUGUUGUGUAUCCUUUUACAGACUAUAAUGUCCACUAUUUACACAAAACCGACCGCGUUUGAUCCAAUCAAGCCUACUUGUUACAAAAACGAGCGACAACACAACACACCAAGCGUGUUCAAGAUUUACAACCAACCAAGCCUCAAAUCGACUAAGUCUCGAUGAUUUAUCCUAACGAUCUGGCGACAAGCAAUCAUGUGAAGUUUGGAGAAUUCAAACAUGCAAUGUAUUCACACCAAGAUCAAAAAACAAAGGUACAAAGUUCAAAUUCAGAAGUAAAAUGCCCACAUGGGCCAAAUAACAAGAGAAACAAAACAUAGUGUUUAAGACACUCCCACAGAGAUUACAAAAUAAGGCAUAAAUAUUAUCUUCAAGUCUCUGUGUUGACUGCUUCAUUCUGCUCGGUCCCAGUUUCUUGACCGGCCGCCUCCACAACAGGAUCACCUUCUUCAGUAAAGGUGCCCUCAUGAAUGUCAUCGAUCGACACCAUACGUCCCUCAUAGAUGUCCUGUUCUAUGUCAAAGCCCAAGCCUGCAGGAUCAACCUUGGCCAAGAAAUUCAUUUGCCUCAAUGCCUUUUUGAAGCCCUUCGUAUGUUCAAGGUCAAUUGCUUCCAUCAUCUCGGCCUCGGUUUGUUUCCACUCAGUUCUCUCCUGCCUCAGUUCGACAUUUGUCUUCUCCAACUCUUCUCGUUUUUUUUCGAUCUCACUCAGCCUCGCAAUAUUCUUCCUAGCCUCCUCCAUGUCCUUCAGCACAUUAUCACGCUCGGUCUUCAGCUCUUGACCAAUCUUACGCAACCCUUCCACCUCCUUCUUAACUUCUGCAAGGGCCUUUGCAGCUUCCUCGGCCUUUUCCUCACAACUUGCGUGAGUAGCAUUGAGGUCAUCUAAUUCCUUUCGGAGGCGGUUCACUUCGCUUUGAACUUCCCCUCUAUUAGAAGCAUACACCAUUUUGAAAGCUGCGGCACCGGCCCGAAGAAGAACGUCGAGCAAGAACUCAGACAUUUGUUGCUCGGACAUGGAGGCCAUCACCUUCUCCUCAGCAGCAUCGAAAUGGAAUUCGAUCUUGUGUCUAAGAUCGAAACCGGGGUCCCACAUCCCUUGGGGCAAAGGGCGAAGUUCGGACGGGUCACCGCUCUCUCUUACGGUCCUCUCUACACCGGGUGAUGAUUCCCCCGCCUCGAUGCCGGUUUUUCCUUUGCCGAGUACGUUGGUCACUCCCUCAACCCGUGCGACUUUUCUCUUCCGCGUCCAUACUUCUUCGGGAGAGGGUGGAGUGUCAUCUACAUGCACAACCGUGACCGGCACAGCCUGGCCGGACGAUGAUCCGGCUCCUUUCUUGGCCGCACGAACUUUACCGAACCAGUCUCUCUUAGGGGCCAUCAGUUCUGUAAAAGGAUACACAACAAAUCAGUAAGGAUACUCAACCUCACUGGGAACAAUAAUCAGCAACAAACACCUACCAGAAACCUUCGACUUAAGGUCGUUGAACUUCAGACAAUUCACCAUCUUCCUCGAAGAAAACGGACGGGAUAGUUUAAUCAAAAUAUCUAGGUCCCUCUUUUCGACGUCAGUCAUAUCCUCUUCAGGCCAAGAGGUCAAAGUUCGAGGAUUUCUAGUCCAAAAUAAGGGGAACUUGGAACUACCAUCAUCGUUUAGAAAAAAUGGCUUACCCCUCGGUUUAAUUGACACAUUGAAAAAGUGGUUUUUGAAGUCUUGAAACGACUCAGCAAACAAGUGAAAUAUGGCAUCCUUUGCCUAGGAACUAAGGGAAACCCACCCCUUUUUGGCAUUCGGCCGGCUCUUGAAAAAAUACAAGAAUAUUUUGGCCGUUGGGUUAAUAUCUAGGGCUUGACACAAUACACCGAACGCUUGGAUGUACGCCCAGCUGUUCGGAUGUAAUUGGGAAGGAGCUACGUUUAGGUAUCGGAGGACAUCCAUUUGGAACCGAGUAAAAGGAAGACGAACGUACAUAUGGUAAAAUAAACACAGAUACAUGUAAAAACAACCCUCUCCGACGACCUCUUCCCCGUGAAACGCUCUUUCUCCCUUCUUGCAAGCCACUAAGUUCACGGCGGCCUUACAGCCUAGGGUUCGAAGGAUGCAGUUAUCUUCUACCCAUCCUGAUAGUAUAUCUCUUCUAAUAAAAAUAGUGUAUUGCUCACCUACUUCCCGCGAUGCCCACGAAUAAUCUAAGGAACAAGAAGCACAUUCUUGCCCGGAAUCUUCUACCUCGACCCCGCCAUUAACAAAAACCUUGUCGCCACUCAAUAACGACUCUACAGACCCUACGACUCUACGGCUAGAUGACGACGGAACAUUACGAUUCCUAUUUUCACUAUCAGACAAAGCAAGGGCAGGAGGGGAAGAAGCCAUUGUUACCUGGAAAUGGAGGUCGAAGCAAGUGCAGAAUACUUGGGCAAAGUAAGAGCUUCUGAGGGCAAACGCAGGAAACAACGAUGAAAUGACGGUUCAUUUCCAAAUCAUUACACUUUUCAAAAGCGUGGAGAUUACGAAAAUGUCGCAUUACCUACACCGUUGGAUGCCUGAGAUCUAACGGUUCUAAUUUGGCGACUCUGCCACUACCGUAACGCGGGAAAAUCCAUUUAUGUGUUUAAAAGUUAAACGACGAUAUGAUUGCGUCGUUUAAUUUACACUGGCAAAACUACACAUGUCUGUUUGCCUACCACUAGGGCACUAAUCAGUACGAACGGUCAACAAUACGGACNACUCANUUAUCCCACACCAAUCGGCCACUAUCCUUCCCAACACUCAUCAAAGUCCUGCAGUCACAUCAGGCUAAAGCCUCGUCCUUCCUUUGGACUUGGGGGGGAUGAUGUACGGUAGUAUAUCCCAGACGACCGGUUACACCGAACGGUCAAGCCUACCAGGUAAAUGGGCCGAAUUAUCCAGCCUUAUUGGGCUCAACAAACACGAAUAACGGAACAGUAUCAUCAUAUAUAUCUCGUAUCAAAUAAUAUCUCAACAGAGAUAUUUCAGGUAAGUUUGUUUAUAUUUCAUUCUGUUUAUAUUUUAUUUUGUUAUAUUGAUCCAAAGCCUAUAAAUAAAGAACAAAAGCCUCCAAACAAGGUACGCACAAUUUAGCUUACUGUACGCACAAUUCAACCUAUUCUACGCAGAUUCUCACACUCAUACUCUCAUACUUGAUUGAGUUUCACCCUCUCUCCGUUCUAGGCAUCCACUUGCUGAGGACAAAGGGCCUUCCUAUACCGACAUCUAACUUGAUCGUCGGAGUGCCUUUACAGGUACCACCCCCCUCCCGGGCAAAGAUCAGAGCGUGACGGACGGUCGGAGGAACGGACGGCGAAGACAAUUGGAGAUUUCGCAUCAGAAGGAAGCAGAAUCACGCCAUCAUAACAAGUCAUGUUCAAGAUCCAACAUAUUAGCUAAACCGGGAUAGAAGACUUACCUUGGUGUUGAAGUCUUUGCUUGAUUUUCUUCCGGUGACGAUCUCCUUUUCCUCCCUCCGUGCAGGUCCACUGAAAUUGUGCUCUCAAGGGUCUCCGAUUCUUGAUUCAGUGAGAAGUGUUCCCUUCUUUUGCUUCGUAGUGCCCUUUUCUUAGGUCCCAAUCCCCUUUUGCGUGACUGCCUGUGCUUUUUUGCGUGACUGCUUUGCUCCCCCUCCCAUACCUUAUUUACAGAACCUACCUCUCCCAGUCAAAGCUUCUUUUUUUUUUUGUCAUUUUUUUCAUUGUUUUUUUUAUAUAAUAAAGACAAAAUGGAACAUUUCAAACUUUUUCUUUUUCCUAUUUAUAUUAAUUAUGUUUAACUAAUAUUAUGUUUAACUAUGCUAAUUAUAUUAGAACACCACUCAAAAGAAAAACUAAAAACAAAGAUUAAAAAUAAAAAUAAAAAUAAAAAUAAAGAGAUAAAAAAUGAAAUAAAAUAAAGCUAAAAUAAUAGAAAUAAAAUAAAAAUAACAAUAAAGAUAAAAAUGGAAAUUGAGAAAAAACCUAUGAUAACACAAUAGAAUAAAGCAAAAUGGAAAACUUUGACAGUCAAAAUUACUUAGAACGAAUUGCAAUUUCAGCUUCAUCUAUCACAAACGUUAGAAGUAGUUUCAUUUUAGGUUGGAAAUUUGAACUCUUAUUAUUAUCUAAUUGGGUGAUUUUUGGUUGCAGGGAAAGGACAUGCUUAAAAGAUGUUUUUGCCGAAUUUCAUGAGCAGAAAAAGCUUUCAGAAAUGUAAUGUAAUAGCUUUUGAAGUGAAAACUUGACCAGCCCAAAAAGGUUAUUGAGUAUGUGAAUUAUCCAAUGUUUCUUUUUAAUAUUGUUUCAGGCUUUCGUUCCAUCUCUUCAUAUACAAUAAUUUUGUUAUUAAUCUGAUCUCUUUUUAACUGUUGUUUCUAAAUGAACUCAUUGGUGAGAGUGGUCACCUUUAUUAUUCAAAUAAAAGAACAUUCAAAAUGGAAGGUUAAAAAAGUGUUAUAUAUAAAAUCAGUGAUUAUCUUUCAUCUGCUCAGCUCUUGGUAAGGCUGGUCCAUGAUGUCGCAACCGAAAUCGUG